rnacentral:rRNA from 1 species
UACGGGGGGGGGCAAGCGUUGUUCGGAAUUACUGGGCGUAAAGGGCUCGUAGGCGGCCAACUAAGUCACACGUGAAAUCCCUCGGCUCAACCGGGGAACUGCGUGUGAGACUGGAUGGCUUGAGUUUGGGAGAGGAAUGCGGAAUUCCAGGUGUAGCGGUGAAAUGCGUUGAUAUCAUCAGGAACACCGGAGGCGAAGGCGGUCCACUGGGUCCUUUCUGACGCUGAGGGACGAAAGCUAGGGGAGCGAACGGG